rnacentral:lncRNA from 1 species
CCGGCCGAUCGGUGAUAAAAUUGCUCAAAUAAUGAGGAAAGCACCAAUUUUUGCAUGAUGGUACAUUUCCGUGUACUGAGCAAUAUAAGCUAUGGACCCACCGUCAAAAUUCAAUAUGGCGGCUUAUUUCAAGAUGGCUGCCGUACGUUCUAAGAUAUUUUCCAGUAUUGUACAAACCACAGUGGAUUUGAUGCUGAAAGCCCAAAAAUCAACAUGUUUUAAUGACUUAGUGUACUUAGCAAGAUUUUGUUUUGAUCUAUCUUUGAAUACAAAAUGGCGGCAAUUUUCAAAAUGGCCGCCUUGAAAAAUAUGCAAUAUUCAUUAUUGAGAAUUGACCUGAAUAUAAGCAUUUUAUUGAUGUAUAGUGUCAUUAAGCAUCUGUCCCAGAUCUGUCCUUUUUGAUUUUGCUUGGCUUGUCAUUUCAUACACAAAGUAGUAGCUUUCAUAAAAAGCUGCAGUAGUAGCUUUCAUUAAAAGGUGCACUAUUUGUUGUCUUGGGCCACACAUCAAAGCUGUGAUUUGGGAUUUAUCUGCCUUGAGAUAUUAUUCACUGCCUAUCUUAUUUCUUUGGUCGCAAUAUUUUGCAAUUUGAGAUAUUAUACUGUGAAUUGAGAAUCAUUUAAACACAUAUCAGUGAAAUGGAAGGAAUGGAGCACAACAAGGACAAGAACUUUGAAAUGGUAGAAACUGAAUCACUUGGGGAAAUAGAGAAACCCACAGCUGAAGACGCGUUAACAGAGGACAGCUCAGAAAUGACUAUUAAACAAUUGUACCAAGAAUUUUUAGCAGAUAGAAAAUCUAAUGCUCAAAGAACAGCUGAGAUUUACCGCAAUAAAAAACAGAGCGAAGCGCGAAUUAAUAAAAUAUGUGUUGGUCUCAUUAUGAUUCAAGCUGAACCGAAAGAAGCAAUGAAUAUUAAUAACGAACAGAUGGGAGCAAUAUCUCAGCAACUUCAGCAGUCUGAAGACAGGAUAGACCACAAGGCUAGUGGUCAUUGCUUGGCGGAAUUGAUGGUCAGACCAAUAAGAUAUUCAAUGUUGUGGUGAGACGAAUUGACAAGCUGAUAACAACUGAGGAAAGAGACACAGUUCAAUUUAAAAGUGUAUUUGAACACCAGGGUACCUUCCAACAACUGGCAUCUGUUCUAAAUGAAUUAGUGGACAAUCGAAAUAAAGAAGUUAAAAUUCCUGCAAUGGACACAUCAUCUAAACCUUAGCCAGUACAACGCUUGCCAAAAGUACACAACAAAAUCCAUGACUUGGGUCUU